rnacentral:rRNA from 1 species
ACUCCUACGGGAGGCAGCAGUGGGGAAUUUUGCGCAAUGGGGGAAACCCUGAUGCAGCAACGCCGCGUGGGGGAUGAAUUCCUUUGGGAUGUAAAUUCCUUCGACCGGGACGAUAAUGACGUACUGAGAGA